UGUGCAAAUGACGAUAAACAGACAGGGACAUCAGCACUCCUUAGGAGAAUGGUGAUUUGUCAAAUGGGAAUCUCUCUGAUGCGCU